rnacentral:lncRNA from 1 species
CCUUGAGAUAAUUGCCCACAUCUCCACUUUGAGCAAAUAGUAUUAGUAUUUGGGGUUCCUUGGAAAGGCUUUAAGGAGGAAAUAUCCAGGGUACUAGGCAGGAAAUAGGAGUGAGGACCAAGGACGAUGCAGAGCUAUCAUGGCCCAGGGGUUGGCUCCCCAGCCUCAGUGGGAGACGAUGGAGGGCCUUGGCCCACUUCUGGUUGGUUGGAUCCCAAGCCCAGCCCAGGAAGGUCAGCCAGUUCCUCUUGCAGUAAGGAGCUGUUUCAUUUGCUCUUGGAUCCAUAAGCACCUUUCUGCUUGAUAAGUGCUGAUGUAAACUGUGACUCCUUGUUUGCUGGACUUUUACGCCUCAAGCAUCAAUUGAGCACCUGCUGUAUACCAAGCACUGUGUUAAGGGCUGGUGAGAAAAGAGAAUGUAAACAGAGAAAAACAAAACAAUUCCUGCCCUCAGGACCAGGAGCCAGGAAAUCAUGUCAGUGGUCUGAGGGUUGGUCCCUCGACGAAUUAAGUCUUGGGUAUUGCUUCAUUUUAGGGAAAAAUUAGUGUACCGUCAAUACACCUAUAUACCUGACAUGAGGCUAAGAGCUGACUGUAUAAAAGAUGCUACACCAGUGUGUGCCCUUGAGAAGCUCGGUCUAAUGGGGUAGACGAUGCAGACAAGUAAGCACAGACAAGCUGAAGACAGGGUAAGUUGAGGGAAGGUGCCAGAAUUAAGCAGAGCUGGGAAAGGCUGGCUUCCUGUGAAGGUAAAUGUUGUGUGGAGCGAACGCUGCUCCUAACACGUAUUCUCAUCAGUGAC